AGGAAUAUAACUCAGUGGUAGAGCGUCACCUUGACGCGGUGGAGGUCAUAGGUUUGAGUCUGCUUAUUCCUC
rnacentral:tRNA from 1 species